rnacentral:rRNA from 1 species
GACGUAGGGCGCGAGCGUUGUCCGGAUUUAUUGGGCGUAAAGAGCUCGUAGGCGGCUUGUCGCGUCGAAUGUGAAAACCUGCAGCUCAACUGCAGGCUUGCAUUCGAUACGGGCAGGCUCGAGUUCGGUAGGGGAGACUGGAAUUCCUGGUGUGAGCGGUGGAAAUACGGCAGAUAUCAGGAGGAACACCGGUGGCGAAGGCGGGUCUCUGGACCGAUACUGACGCUGAGGAGCGAAAGCGUGGGGAGCGAACAGG